CUUUGUUAACUAAUUCUUAACUUGCUAAGAGAGAAAAAGAAGCAACUGACAUGCAGCAUAUCAAAAACCGAACUAGAAAACCAGUCAUAAGAAAAUUGAUUUUUUUUUAUUUCAUGGAAGAUGAUUUUUAUACAAAGCAUAUAAAACCAAAGAUUUCAAAAAUAAAAAUGAUGAUAAUUGUGCACGAAUGCAUGUGUUUUUUAUUACUUUUCAAAAUUUCUAAGUUUAGAAACAGAUUUGACAAUUGUGUGUAUUGUCAGCCGUUGAGAUAAAAAUGGGCCUCGUCAUUCCAUAGGUUGUUUCAAGGCCAUCAUUAUUCACUUUCAUCCAAGCUAAGAACAAAUGAGAAAAGUGCAAGUGAGUUUCCACAUUGUUUGGAAGCAAAAUUUAGACUCAGAUUAUCUUGUAAGGGAAAAAUU
rnacentral:lncRNA from 1 species